CAUAGUAGAGUGAUAAAGAUGGUAUUUUUAUGAGUUGUAAAGAAAAUCCAGAAAAGGGUUCUUGGAAAUUGAAGGUGAAGAUUAGAUUCUUAGCUGCAUUUUGAAAAGUAAAUUACUCAAUGUUAGAAAGAUUAGAUUUUUAUGAGGUAUGAAGAAAAUCCAGAAAAGGGUUCUUGGAAAUUGAAGGUGAAUAUUAGGUUCUUGGCUGCAUUUCUUCAAUUAGAUUACUCAAAGUGUUACAAAGAUAAGAUUUUUGAGAGAAAAAUGAAUAAAGUACUAUAAGGGGUUUCUAUAUAUAGUUUCUGGAAGUGAAAGAGUAGGGAAGGAGGAUGCUAAUGAUGUUACUAGGGAUUGGUUUUAUGUUUUCUUGUGAUUAUAUGAGUGAUAAUUGUAGUUGUUAUUUGCUUUAUGUUGGAAUGAGCAGAGCAAAACUUGAACUUUUCUGGGAAAUUUCAAAUCUUGGGCUAUUGGAGUGGACAGUAAAGUUGCUAUUUUUGGGAAAGAAACAAGUUAAUGAUAUCUUCAGGGACAAAUUUGGUGAUGACUGUGAUUGGAUUUGCAGUUAGUACUAUGUUCAUAGUAUUUGUGUGCACAAGACUAAUUUGUGCAAGAAUUCAAUUGAACGCUAGACGGCGCUUUUUUGCAUAUGCUUCUAGAUCUGAUCUUAGCAUUUUGGAGCGUGGUUUACAUUGUCUCGAGCCUCUUGCUGUUGCCAACUUCCCGACAAAGAAGUAUGGGGACGCGUUUUCUCUCUCUGCAGAAGAUGCUCAGUAAGUUUUUU